rnacentral:rRNA from 1 species
CGGACGGGUGAGUAACACGUGGGUAACCUGCCCAUAAGACUGGGAUAACUCCGGGAAACCGGGGCUAAUACCGGAUAACAUUUUGAACCGCAUGGUUCGAAAUUGAAAGGCGGCUUCGGCUGUCACUUAUGGAUGGACCCGCGUCGCAUUAGCUAGUUGGUGAGGUAACGGCUCACCAAGGCAACGAUGCGUAGCCGACCUGAGAGGGUGAUCGGCCACACUGGGACUGAGACACGGCCCAG